rnacentral:rRNA from 1 species
AGAACGAACGCUGGCGGCAUGCCUAAUACAUGCAAGUCGAACGAACACUUCGGUGUUAGUGGCGCACGGGUGCGUAACGCGUGGGAAUCUGCCCUUGGGUUCGGAAUAACAGUUGGAAACGACUGCUAAUACCGGAUGAUAUCGAAAGAUCAAAGAUUUAUCGCCCAGGGAUGAGCCCGCGUAGGAUUAGCUAGUUGGUGAGGUAAAGGCUCACCAAGGCGACGAUCCUUAGCUGGUCUGAGAGGAUGAUCAGCCACACUGGGACUGAGACACGGCCCAGACUCCUAGGGAGCAGCAGUAGGGAAUAUUGGACAAGUGGGCGCAAGCCUGAUCCAGCAAGUGCCGCGUGAGUGAUGAAGGUCCUUAGGGUGUAAAGCUUACUUUACCCGAGAUGAUAAUGAC